GUGGGAGCCAAACACUGAGAACACAUGGGCACAAAGAGAGGAACAACAGACCCUGGGGCCUACUUGAAGGCAGAAGUUGGGAGGAGGGAAAGGAUCAGAAAAAAAUAGUUAUUGGCUACUGUGUUUAGUACCUGGGUGAGGAAAUUAUCUGUAUACCAAACCCCUGUGACACAGGCUUACCUACAUAACAAACCUGCAAGUGUACCUUGGAACCUAAAAUAAACUAUAAAAAGUGUAAAGGAAAAUAAUCCUCAUAAAUUGGAUUAAUGCUCUUAGAAAAGAGGCCUGAGAGAUAUCCCUCGCCCCUUCUACCACAUGACAAUGCAGCGAGAAGAUGGUUAUCUGUGAACCAGAAAGCCCUCACCAGACGCCGAGUCUACCAGGACCUUGGUCUUGGACUUGCUGCUUCCGUAACUGUGGGAAAUAAGGUUUGGUUUGAAAGCUGCCCAGUUUAUGGCAUUUUGCUCUAGCAGCCCAAUGGACUGAGACACUGUUUUCUAUGGAGGCGAAGGCAGGUUGCAGAGCACACACAGGCCUGGCUCCGGGAGGGACGCCUCACACCUUACACACACCAUCUUCAAUCCUUGCAACCUCCAGUGACACUGAAAGGCUGCCCAUUUCACAGUUGAGGAAACUGAGGCUCAGAGUGGUUAAGAAGCCUCAUGACAUCACCCAGCCAGUUCAUCCAGGAGGCCAGGCUUGAAUUCUGACUCCCAGGCUCUCUCCAGUCUCUGUACUCUAGCCCCACUCUUGCAUGAUAACACUGAUUUUCCCUCCACAGCGGGGGACGAUAGAGAACAGAGGUGAGGCCCUUCAAACCCACCUGGGGAAACAGGGGUCCUGGGCAGGGUCUAUGCUGACACAGCAGAAGCCUGAGAGGACCUUGGCGUUGGUGAACAGGCAGUGCCAGGCUCAGAGAACAAACUGGGGUAACCUACCAGCAAGGCACCCCUGCCUUCCACUUUCAGGACAAAGUUCAAUGGCGCUAGAGGAAUUUCCUUAAUUAAAAGCUGAUAUCAGAACAUUGUCCUGGUCUCUGGCUAGGGUCCAUGUGCAGCCAAACUCCUGCUGGUGACUGCUGACAACCUGGGCCAGCCCCUGGCACAUGCACAGGCUGGUAGGGGUUUGCCCCUGGCUUCCUCCUCCCCAUGCUUCUUCCCUCCACCCUCCCAGCUUAAGCACUAAGUUCUCUGACCCUCUCUAAAAGGGCCCCAAUUCAGGUUACAGUUGUAAUUGACCUUCAGUGGAAUGUAGGAACUUUCUCAGGAAGGGUUGCAUCUCUUCAGGGAUCAAGAGCAGAAGCCAGGGAAAGGAAUGCUCCUGGAUGAAUUUCAGGACUGGCUCAUAGGACGGAGGUGGUGUGAGGGGCAUCCAGUCCUGCAGGGAGUUUUGGGCCCACACAGUGCCCAGCAAGGGAUCCCUGAUCUGCCACCCA